rnacentral:rRNA from 1 species
UACGUAGGGUGCAAGCGUUUGUCCGGAAUUAUUGGGCGUAAAGAGCUCGUAGGCGGUUUGUCGCGUCUGCUGUGAAAUUUGGGGGCUCAACCCCCAGCCUGCAGUGGGUACGGGCAGACUAGAGUGCGGUAGGGGAGAUUGGAAUUCCUGGUGUAGCGGUGGAAUGCGCAGAUAUCAGGAGGAACACCGGUGGCGAAGGCGGGUCUCUGGGCAAUAACUGACGCUGAGGAGCGAAAGCGUGGGGAGCGAACAGG